ensembl:lncRNA
ACUCUGUGGUACCACACACCUCUCUUUGAACACAUCAACCAGGCAGUCACCUCCACUGUGUCUCUGAGAGUGGCCAAUCAGACACUGGCCUGCUCAUCACAGCUCACCUACCAUCCCGACCCAGAAUUCACCAGCUACACCGCAAUCAAGACAGGAAAUGACCUGCGUGUCACCAUUGAGAAAAGGGCUGACAAGUUGAACAUCACCACAGAAGAGAUCUUAGUGUUUGGUGUUCAGGAGGAGAACCAGGAUGUAGAGUGUGUCAUGGACACCGUCGAGACGAGCAACGAGACUGACUCUGUCAUCUGUGAGAUAGAGAACACUCACAACGCUAACAUCAAGUCAGUGAAGAUAAGAGUUGGCAAUGUCACAAUAAACCUUGAUUCAACACACACUGUACUGCUAAGACUCUUUCUGCUUAUACCCAUCAUCACUAUAGUCAUCGUUGCACCACUGCACUAUUUAAGCAACAGUUUUCCCCACUAUUCCUUAUCCUGCUGGGGAUCGCAAUGGCCAAACUUGUUAUUCAUUUCCUUGAUCUGCGUCACUGACAACGUGAGUACAUUUGAUUUAUUGGAGAAUAUGUAAUAAUGUUAAUAUUUAAGAUACUUUGAGUUUGUUAAAGUUUGUGUUGUGUGCUGCUGUCAUUUUCCUUAGUACAUUUUCACUUAGUUUUGGUUGUGUUAACAAUUAUUUAAUGAAAUGAAUGGUAAAUAAUGUACUGUGUUAUGUUGGAGUCACUUUUAUUGUAAAUAAGAAUAUAAUAUGUUUCUAAACACUUCUACAUUUUGGAUGCUCCAGGUCAUCUAUAAGUCUUUGCUAGGUAAAGCUCCGCCUUAUCUCAGCUUACUGGUCACAAUAACAACACCCACCCGUAGCACGCGCUCCAGCAGGUAUAUCUCACUGGUCUUCUCCAAAGCCAACACCUCCUUUGGCUGCCUUUCCUUCCAGUUCUCUGCUGCCAAUGACUGGAACGAAUUGCAAAAAUUGCUGAAGCUGGAGACUUAUAUUUCCCUCACAAACUUUAAACAUCAGCUAUCUGACAGGCUAACCAAUCACUGCAGCUGUAAAUAGCCCAUCCAAUCUACCUACCUUAUCGAUCUCGCUUCUAUUUACUUUUCUGCUCUUUUGCACACCAGUAUUUCUACUUGCACAUCAUCAUCUGCACAUCUAUCGCUGCAGUGUUAAUUUUCUAAAUUGUAAUUACUUCACUACUAUGGCCUAUUUAUUGCCUUACCUCCUCAUGCCAUUUGCACACACUGUAUAUAGACUUUCUUUUUUUCUAUUGUGUUAUUGACUGUACGCUCGUUUAUUCCAUGUGUAACUCUGUGUUGUUGUUUGUGUCGCACUGCUUUGCUUUAUCUUGGCCAGGUCGCAGUUAUAAAUGAGAACUUGUUCUCAACUAGCCUACCUGGUUAAAUAAAGGUUAAAUAAAAAAUGCUACCAUUAUUAUGGAUAAUCCUGAAUGAAUCUUGAAUAACGAUGAGGGAGAAAGUUAAAGACGCACAAAUACUUUUGUUCAUGUACUGUAUGUGGACACCUGCUGGUCCAACAUCUCAUUCCAAAAUCAUGGGCAUUAAUAUGGAGUUGGUCCCCCUUUUGCUGAUACAACAGCCUCCACUCUUCUGGGAAGGCGUUCACUAGAUAUUGGAACGUUGCUGCGGGGACUUGCUUCCAUUUGGCCACAAGAGUAUUCAUGAGGUCAUGCACUGAUUAGGCCUGGCUCGCAGUCGGCGUUCCAAUUCAUCCCAAAGGUGUUCGAUGGAGUUGAGGUCAGGGCUCUGUGCAGAUCAGUCAAGUUCUUCAACACCGAUCUCGACAAGCCAUUUCUGUAUGCACGGGGGCAUUCAUUCUGAAACAGGAAAGGGCCUUCCCCAAACUGUUGAAACAAAUUUGGAAGCACAAAGCCAUCUAGAAUGUCAUUUUAUGCUGUAGCGUUAAGAUUUCCCUUCACUGGAACUAAGGGACCUAGCCCGAACCUUGAAAAACAGCCCCUGACUAUUAUUCCUCCUCCACCAAACUUUACAGUUGGCACUAUGCAUUUGGGCAGGUAUCGUUCUCCUGGCAUCCGCCAAACCCAGAUUCGUCUGUUGGACUGCCAGAUGGUAAAGCGUGACUCAUCACUCCAGAGAACGUGUUUCCACUGCUCCAGAGUCCAAGGGCGGUGACCUAUACGCCACUCUAGCCGAUGCUUGGCAAUAUGCAUGGGGCUCUUAGGCUUGUGUGCGGCUGCUCAGCCAUGGAAACCCUUUUCAUGAAGCUCAUGAUGAACAGUUUUUGUGCUGACAUUGCUUCCAGAGGCAGUUUGGAACUUCGUAGUGAGUGUUGCAACUGAGGGCAGACAAUUUUUAUGCGCUUCAGCACUCGGCGGUCGCCGUUCUGUGUGCUUGUGUGGCCUAGGACUUUGCGGCUGAGACGUUGUUGCUCCUAGACGCUUCCACUUCACAAUAACAGCACUUGCAGUUGACCGGGGCAGCUCUAGCAGGGCAGAAAUUCAACAAACUGACUUGUUGGAAAGGUGGCAUCCUAUGACAAUGCCACGUUGAAAAUCUAAUGUAACGUAACAAUGUCGAAAAUAUCAAGGGGUCUGAAUACUUUCCGAAUGCACAGUAAGUGAAUUAGUCCCCCCAUUUUAGGUAUUGGGACAAUGUACAAAAAGUGCUGUAAUGUCUAAACAGUUCCCCUGAUAUGGAUGGAAAUACCCCCAAGUUAAAGCUGACACCCUACACUUUAACCGCAUAGUCAUUGUUUGCUUCACUGUCCCAAUCAUUACUGAGGGCACUGUAUAUCCUUAGUUUGUUGUUGUUAAUUAUUUUCAGUUUAUUUUCCCUUUUGCUUGAUUUAAUCUGCUAUUAGGUCUGGAAGGAACCUGCAUUAUCCGUGGUCAAGCGCGGACAACAUUGAAGACUGUCCUUUGAGUCGUUGCAAGUUUGUUGGCAACGUGGUUGAUCUUACUCCAGCCCUGCGCUUGACUAGAGUCCUCUCCAGGGGGUGUACGUGUACAUCAGGCUCCCUCACGCUACAGAAACAGAAGAUCCUGUUCCUAUGGGUUGUUCCAGCUCGCAGAAGCCAAGGCUUGUACAAGGCUACUUACUUAUAGGACCUUGUGGAGAGUUGGAUCAUUGUGAGCUUUAUGACUCCCAAUCUAGAGAGCACUGAGAGGGAUGCCAUGGGCCCAUUCUCAACAUUGAGUCCUGUAUCAAGUGAUGCGGAGUACGAGUGCUGAUCUCCCCCCCCCCCCCCCUCUGUCCAUGUAGUCUAAUUCAUUGUGAUCCUAAAGACAAAAUGGACCCUUAAUCAAUACUCCUAUGCUGAGUAGCUUGAUCCAUACGGUUCCAGGUGGUUUAACAUGAAGACAAGAGAAGUGUGGAGGCCACUUGUAUUUCUAUUUUUACUGGUAUUAGACCGCCAUCUUCUGGUCCAAAGUUAAAAAACUUUACUGAGGUUUCUGCUGCAGUUUACACAGAGGGGACAGCGAUGGCCAGGGAAAGAUGGUUGGGGUUGCUGUCGACGGGGUCAUUUUCUCCACUCAUACAGGAGUAAUAAAGGCCCAGUUUAUCAGGGGGAGCUGCAGCACCCUUAUUUACCAUGGCUAUGGGGACAGAUGAAUGUGUGUGAAUGUAACCUUUCAAAAAGUAUCAUAGUGCAAGAUUUGACUUUUUGUUACAUGUAUUGUGUGUGUUGAUUGAUCAGAGAGCUGGACACUCAAGGAGCUCAGAUGCAAUAAUUUAAUAACCUAAUAACCAACGUUUUGACAGACAAGCUGUCUUCAUCAGGGUAUAAUGACAAACACUGCAGGGUGACUCGUUUAUAUAGUGUCAAAGGACAGACACACGUGUCUGUAAUCGUGGCCUGAUAUCAUUGGUUAAUUCUCAGAUAUAAAAAUAACAUACCAAAAACAUGAAUGGAUAGCAUAUGAUCUUUGAUACAAUUUGGUUACAUAGGCCUACAAACAUUUACAAUGAAUAGCAAAACCACAAUCACAAGAAUGGCUUCAGAUCAAAGUCUACAUUGAGACCGAAGGAGCAAGGGUCUUUAAAUUAAAGAUCCAGGCAGCCUCUCAUUUUAACAAUAAAUUAUCAAGGUCACCCCCUCUCGCAGGGAGGGUGACAUGUUCGAUGCCGAUAUAACGUAGGGACGAAAUCGAGUGGUUUGCUUCCAAAAAGUGGGCCACAACUGGGUAAGUCAAGUUUUUGCACCUAAUGGUGCUAAGAUGCUCUGAGAUACGUUCUUUUAAUUCACGCUUUGUUUUACCCACAUAAUUUUUACCACAAGGACAAGUUAUAAGAUAAAUAACUGCCUUAGUGGAGCACGUGAUAACACCUUUGAUUGGGAUCUGUUUCCCUGUUUGGGGGUGUUUAAAGGAUCUACAUUUAUAAGUGCCAUUACAUUGAGCUCAGCCAUUACACUUGUAUUUUCCAUCCAGUAGGGGCGAAAAUAGACUUCUAACUAAAUCUUAAUUCAAGACCUGGUAUGUGAGUAGAUUCUGGUGUACAUAAUGCCUGCAGUGGUAGAAAAAGUACCCAAUUGUCAUACUUGAGUAAAAGUAAAGAUAACUUAAUAGAAAAUGACUCAAGUGAAGUUACCCAGUAAAAUACUACUUGAGUAGAAGUAUUUGUUUUUAAAUAUACUUAUUAAGUAUCGAAAGUAAAAUCAUAAAUCAUUUCAAAUUCCUUAUAUUAAGGAAGCCAGAGGCGCAAUUCAACACUCAGAAAUAAUUUACAAACAAAGCAUUUCUAUUUAGUAAGUCUGCCAGAUCAGAGGCAGGGGAUGACCAGGGACGUUCUCUUGAUAAGUGUGUGAAUUUGACCAUUUUCCUGUCCUGCUAAGCAUUCAAAAUGUAACGAGUACUUUUGAGUGUCAGGGAAAAUGUAUGGAGUAAAGACUAUUUUCUUUAGGAAUGUAGUGGAGUAAAAGUUGUCAAACAUAAAGAUAGUACUGAUACAACUGAAGUCGUUUUGGGGUGUAUUUUACUUCAGUAACAGUGUAGGUUCCGUCCCUCUCUUCGCCCCAACCUGGGCUCGAACCAGGGCCCCUUGCACACAUCAACAACUGACAUCCCA